rnacentral:lncRNA from 1 species
UGGCACAACUUCUCCGACAGGUCAUGUAACCAUGUUGAAUAUUGCUGUAGUCCAUUUUAGGGUCUACAUCGCACAUUUAUUUUAUUAUUUUGAACGAGACCAAUCCACAAUCUUUUUAUAUUUUGACCUUCCGUUUUGAUUUUCUGAUCCAUCUUUCUUUAUCCAAUACUUUUUCUCGAUGCAACUGGAGGAAAGAAACCUUCCCCAGAUUUAUUAUCGAAUACUUUAAUGCUGUAAUUUCUAUAAUGAUGAAUUCAUGUAAAUGAGAUCUGGUAAAUUCCUACCUAUUCCAAUCCUCUAAUAUGUUUUCUCCGUAUGAAGUCCCCUUUUUGGAUAUUGGGGCAUGCAAGGACGCAGCACAUAAAGGUGGGAUCUGGUAAGUUACUCUUUGAUGUUUGCUUUCUUUCUUUCAAUUAGACGGUGUUCAAAUAGUGUUCAAAUACCACCUGCCUGCUAAAGUUGAAAGAUCUUAGUAGUUUCUUCCGGGCCAUGAUGGAAAGAACGAGCAAUCUUGUCUGAGCCCAGGAAGGCCACCAACCCUCUGCAGGUGACUCGAGUUAUAGGAGGCAAAUCAUAUAAUAUUCCCACCACAUUUUUUUCAUAUGAGCUACUGAUAAAGUGAUCAUAUGCCUGAUGGUUGUAUCUCUAGAGGCUAAGUUAAUUAUGUGCUAUCCAUCAUUAUUAUAAUAAAAAAAU